rnacentral:rRNA from 1 species
UACGGGGGAGCAAGCGUUGUUCGGAUUUACUGGGCGUAAAGGGCGCAGUAGGCGGCGUGACAAGUCACUUGUGAAAUCUCCGGGGCUUAACUCGGAACGGUCAAGUGAUACUGUCGUGCUAGAGUACAGAAGGGGCAACUGGAAUUCUCGGUGUAGCGGUGAAAUGCGUAGAUAUCGAGAGGAACACCUGCGGCGAAGGCGGGUUGCUGGGCUGAUACUGACGCUGAGGCAGCGAAAGGCUAGGGGAGCGAACGGG